rnacentral:lncRNA from 1 species
UUGUUUGGUAAAGAGACUGUUUUUUUUUCCACUAGGGGAAGUGGUGGAUUUGUUAUGUGUUUGUAUGAGGGAGAGGAAAGUUUGUUGUGUUUAGUGGUGGAGACUAUUAGGAAGACAAUAAGGGUUUUUUUUUGCAACAGAAGAGGAUUUUAUUUUUUCAAUUUUUUUUGUAUUUCUCCCUAUUUUUCAAUGGUAUUUCUCUCUUUCUUUUUUUUCUCUUCUUGGUUUUUAUUUUUACUUUUCUAGUGUGUUUUUAUGGUCUUUCUUAUGUGUGUUUUUGUUGUUUGACUCUUUUUUCUAAGCUCUAAUUAGGAGAACAUUCUUAAAGUAGAAAA